rnacentral:rRNA from 1 species
AUGAAGCUAUGCUUUGCCUUAAAAAAAAUCAAGCAGGUGCCCUUCCCUUUCAGUUUGCUCGUGGAUCCCACCUCCAACCCCGCGUCGCCCACCGGUCAAGCCGGUCUCCCUCCGUUCCCCACACCGGCGACGUCCGGUCUCGCUUCCCUUCCUUACAGUUUGUGCGUCAUGGGGACUUCUUCAGGUGCGAAUUUCCAUCAACAGCCUCCGCCCCAGGGGAUGCUGCCGCCUCGCCAUGGUGCCCGGGCCCCUAGCCUGCAGACUUCCCUCUCAUUGGCCUCGUCGGAACAGGUUGGCUCGCCUGAAAUGCAGGAACCUGUGUCCAAUUCUGACCAGGGCCAUGACUCUGCCACCGAAAGUGCAAGUUCGAGGGAGACCUGGCCUGUAGAGCCGGAACAUAGCAAUGCUGCUGCUGCUAGUAGUGGCGGUGCUGUGAAAAAGGUGGAGAUGGAAAAGGAUAUCAGAAAUGGUAUCCCCAAGUUGCAGGUUAUUCGUGGAAGCUCCCGCAUCGAUAGGGUGUCACUGAGGGAGAUUGCGCGGGAGAGAGUGGACCUAGUUGUUGAGAAAAUGAAGGUAAUGCCAGAGGAGCACCUGGAGGAGAUUAAAAAUGAGCUCAGGUCGAUUCUGGAGGGGACAGGGGGCUCUCAUCAUAUUGAGGAGUUUCUGUAUCUGCAGAAGUUUGUCCAGGGCAGAGGUGAUUUGACACCAACUAUGCUUUCAAUGGCCCAUCAUGUCCAACUGGAGAUCCUCGUGGCAAUCAAGACUGGAAUCCAGGCGUUUUUGCACCCCAGCGUCACCAUUCCCCAAAGCCACCUGGUGGAGGUCUUCUUGUAUAAGAGGUGCCGGAACAUUGCUUGCCAGAGUGCUCUCCCGGCUGAGGAAUGCAGAUGCAAUGUAUGUGCUAACAGAAAUGGGUUUUGCAACCUUUGCAUGUGCGUGAUUUGCAACAAGUUUGAUUUUGAGGUCAACACAUGCCGAUGGGUUGGGUGCGAUUUCUGUUCCCAUUGGACGCACACCGACUGUGCGAUUCGUGUUGGCCAGAUUGGGACAGGGCAAUCAAUUAAGAGCGGCACCGGUCAUGCCGAAAUGCUUUUUAGGUGCCAGGCUUGCCAGAAGACAUCAGAAUUAUUCGGUUGGGUUAAGGAUGUGUUUCAACAAUGUGCUCCUGGUUGGGAUAGGGAUGCCUUAGUACGAGAGCUUGAGUUUGUUUGUAAGAUAUUUCGUCUAAGCGAAGACCCAAAAGGAAGAAAUUUGUUCAGGAAAUGUGCGAAUCUGAUUGAAAGAUUGAGGAAUAGUUCUCCUGAUUCUGUCAAUCCUAGGAUGAUACUGCAUGCACUUCGAGAGCUUGAGAUGGAUUCCCCUAAGAGCUCUGAAAAUGAAGAAUCGGGACGCUUGAUCACUCCCCAGGAGGCAUGUAAUCGUAUUGCAGAGGUAGUCCAAGAAGCUGUCAGAAAGAUGGAGCUUGUUGCUGAAGAGAAAAUGGGACUGUACAAAAAGGCUCGCACCGCUGUGGAGGCCUGUGACCGUGAGCUUGAUGAGAAGGCCAGACAAGUUCAGGAGUUCAAGGCCGAGAGGCUGCGGAAGAAGCAGCAGGUGGAGGAGCUCGAGAGCAUUGUUCGGUUGAAACAGGCCGAGGCUGAGAUGUUCCAGCUCAAGGCAAGUGAGGCUCGCCAGGAGGCUGAGAGGCUCCAGAGCAUCGCGCUUGCCAAAUCUGAGAGGGCUGAGCAGGACUACGCUAGCCUCUACCUCAAGCGGCGCCUGGAGGAAGCGGAGGCAGAGAAGCAGUUUCUUUUUGAGAAAAUAAAGCUUCAGGACGGCCAUAGGCCCCCGCAGGCGAGCAGCAGCGUGCCUGCUGAUUCCUCUCAGGCUCCCUCUCAGGCGUUGAUGCUGUCCAAAAUUCAGGACCUUCUCAAGAACGUUCGUACCAUGCCGACAAAGUCGGAGGCGCAUUCAAAAUAA